UGGGUUUAGACCCACGGCGAACGGGUGAGUAAUACCUAGGAAUGUAUCUUUAGUUGAGCAUAUCCCACCGAAAGGUGGAGCAAUUCUCAAUGUGAUCGCAAGAUUAAAGUCGCAAGACGCUAAAGAAGCAGCCUGGGCACCAUCAGCUAGUUGGUAAGGUAAAAGCUUACCAAGGCUAUGACGGUUAGGGGCCCCGAGAGGGGAGACCCCCACACUGGAACUGCGACACGGUCCAG
rnacentral:rRNA from 1 species